rnacentral:rRNA from 1 species
GUGGGGAAUCUUCCGCAAUGGACGAAAGUCUGACGGAGCAACGCCGCGUGAGUGAUGAAGGUCUUCGGAUUGUAAAGCUCUGUUAAUCGGGACGAAAGAGCCUAGUGUGAAUAAUGCUAGGAAGUGACGGUACCGGAAUAGAAAGCCACGGCUAACUACGUGCCAGCAGCCGCGGUAAUACGUAGGUGGCAAGCGUUGUCCGGAAUUAUUGGGCGUAAAGCGCGCGCAGGCGGAUCUGCCAGUCUGUCUUAAAAGUUCGGGGCUUAACCCCGUGAUGGGAUGGAAACUACAGAUCUAGAGUAUCGGAGAGGAAAGUGGAAUUCCUAGUGUAGCGGUGAAAUGCGUAGAGAUUAGGAAGAACACCGGUGGCGAAGGCGACUUUCUGGACGACAACUGACGCUGAGGCGCGAAAGCGUGGGGAGCAAACAGGAUUAGAAACCCCAGUAGUCC